UAUGAAAUCUCUGCUCACAUAUGUGACUGCAGUUGAUGACAUUAAAAGGAGCUGAGUCUGGAUCAAUACCUGGAUUGGUAUGCUGUUAGACUGCUCCAAAAGAAGCAAAACAUGUACUGUGAGUAACCAUCUUAGAUUGAAAAAAGAAGAUAAAAACAAAAGUCAUAUUUUCAGGGAUAGAAGCGGUCUGCUGAGAUGCUGCAUUAAAAUACAUGGCACAUACAAAUAAUAUGGGCACAGACUUUUGCCUUCUUGAUUUGCAUACAUUAUUUCCAGUUAAUUUUGGGAAACCUCCCUCAACUUUACUUCAAACUUCCAAGUGAUACAGAUCUCAUCCUCCAUUGCCCACAGGCAGUGUUCCCAAGUAAGUUAAUAGAAAUGAUGAUAAGGGAGGAGUGGAAUUCAGUUGACUAAUAUUUCCUUCAGUCUUGAUGGUCAGGGUGCUGUGCUUUUGUGUGUGGAGGUGGAGGAGGAAGCAAGGGAGAAGUCCUUAUGGCGAACGCUAAAAUGGACAUUCUUAAAUAAAAUUUUGUAAGGCAAAGAUAAUAUUCUAUGAAAUGCUGCAGGGUGCAUGGAGGGGGGAAAAGUUGCUGCACUCCUGAAGAGUUUGAAAAGUAAAUUCUUAUGCAGAAGCUGCAUGACAUAAGAAUUAUAAUUUAUUGCAGCUUACAAUGGUAAGUGAAAUAUUGAAUUUACAAAUUUUUUUUUUCUUUACAAUGGCUAAACUGACCUGAAUGCUGUCCUGUCUGAUCAUUGCUAAUGGAUAAUACUGCAAUAUGUGCUUGUAGUUUUGUACGUACACUUCAGAAUUCUAGUAAGCAUUUGCCUUACCAGAGAGGUUAGUGUAUUUCAAAUCAUUUAACAAAUUUUUGAAUAAACAAGAUGUGGCAGUCAGCUGAUAAUACUUUACUUCCAAUGUUUUUGUGUGCAUGCCAUUUACACUAAUGAAGCAUCAGUACUUCACUGCAGAGGGUGCUGGACAUACAAAUGAAAAACAUGUUAUUUGCCUCCAGAGACCCUACAGUCAUAAUGUAAGAUAAAAAAAAGUAUUAUAAUAAAAACAAAGAACAGAAAGUAUUGUACAAAGCAAUGAUGAUACAAAUCUUUGUAAUAGCAGCAGGGAAAUCUGUGGAGAAGAAACUACUGGUGGGGCUGCAUGGUUGGCUACAGUUGGAACAGUGUCGUUUGCAAAGAUCUUGAAAUUUCAUUCUAAUGCUUUGUUCAAUGACAAUGUGGUAGGGGGUCAAAUGUAGGUUUUUAUUCUCAAUAUAUACUUGUAUUUCUGUUCAUAAUUUUUGUAGAAAACUAGGCAUGACAUAUAUAUUUGUAUUUUUUUGCAUGUGUAUAUAAAUGUUUAUAUAUGCAUAUUUAUAACAAGUGAAGGGUAGAUCGUGUUUACCUGUGGUGUGUUUGGCCGUGGUUGUUGCUUUUGCUGGCUCCUGACUUAGGUUUGUAAGUGCCACCUUUUAUCUUCUCAGGACUUCUCACGCUUUUUACAAGAGAAGAUACAUGCAAACAUUCUCCUGCAUUAUUUUCCAUUUAGUAACUCGGAGUAAGCUAUGCUGUAGAAAGCUCGGUUAUUGGAUUGAUUAUUUAAUCUUUUAAAUUGAAGGUGCUUUUUUUUUUUUUUUCCUUGGUAUUUUAAGUAUUUCCUGUAACUAAACAAGAUACACAAAGCAAUCAUGUGUGGCUGUAAUAGGGAAGGACAACCUUUCUAAUAUACUCUCCUUGGUGUGAGUUACAGUAAGUGAGCCUAGCAGAGAAGGUGAAUAUGCUGUUUGUGCUGGUGCGGUGGACAAAUGUGUAGGUAUUUCAAGCCUGGUGUAUGGUUAACUCUUUCAUUUCCUUCAAUGAAUAAAAUGGGUUGGUUGAUAGCAGUGAACAAGCUGCUAUCAGGAACUUUCUUCUCAUGAAUUGUUAAAAGGUGGAGAUGUGAUACGCUGGAAGCCGCAGUCUUUGUAUCAGGAGUGCUACUUUUAGAAAGGCUGAGUCAACAAACUCAUAAUUCGCAAGCGAUCAGAGGACACAUGUUUUUAACCUUGGUAUGUUUUUUUUUCUUUCAUCCUUUCACAGCUGUCCUCCAGACUGUAAUGUCAUGUUUUACAGGCUAUGUUUAGUUUAUUCAUUAAAGCUCAAAUGUGAACUACGCAGGUCAAGGUAGUCAGGCCAAGUGAGUGGCUAUUAGGGUCUACAGAUACAUCACGUUUGUCUGAAAAUCCCUCAGCUCUUUUGUCACUCUUGUGGUUUGCAGUUUGUCCAGUUCCUUUUGUAUUUAAAGGAGGAGAUAGCAGAUACUCCAAUUUUAGUAAGAGAUUGAGACUAACAGUGUCCACAACUCCCUAAAAGCAGUGUUUCAUUUGGUUAUGUGUAGUCAGGCUGCUAGGCAGAUGGUCUCAGCAAAUAUCAUCAUUGCAAUGAAGAAAAGGCGGUCUUGGAUGGUUCUAUUUAUUUAUUUAUCUAUUUAUUUAUUUAGAGAGCUUUGUGGUUUGGCUCACAGCCAAGGAUGUUUCCUGUUUCUAGUUUUGACUUAUACCCAGUUACUUUUCAGGCUGCAUCCUCGGUUGCACUCUAACUGGAUAGAGUGUGCCAGGCACAUCAAGAACAUUAUUGAUGCUUUCUGGUUGGUGGCCCUCUAGAGGCUUAGCUUCAGUGGAAUUCAAGCCUGAAAAUCCAAAGCCUCAGAAAAUCUGCAUCCUGUGCAAUCUCAUAGAAGCCAGCGCACAGCAAAUUAUAUUUUACGGUGUAUAGUGCAAAAGUCAGGAUAACUACUUCGAGGCAGGCACGCCGGUAUUGGAGUGGACAUAGUGGUAACCUUGGGGAGAAAAUGGCAAAAAGAGUAGCACAACCACUGUCGUCUUUAUCUUAAAAGGAAAAAAAGCA